GACUGCCAGCUCUCUGGGGGCAGGAACCAAGGAACAGAUCAUCAGCUGAGGACUGGUAUGUGGAAAGCAGGCCAGAGGAAAACAACAACAGAUCACAGUGUGGUUUGAGUAUAGUAUUCUGCUGACGACUAAAAGGAUAUUGUAAACCCUUAAUCUAAUGUGUAUGGUUCUUGCUAAAAGAAACAUGAUUCUCUUGCAUAUG